UUCCUCGCAGAAGGUGCCCCAGGCACGCAGGUUUAAUCCUGAAAGGGUCCAAACCCGCUCAUUUGGAUCAGUGUCGAACUGCUUGGGCUGAGAGUCUGAUAAAUAAGCUUAUGCUGCUGCCCUCUGCCCUACGGGCUUCUCUCAGACUGAUUACCUACACCUAGCAUGAUUGUAGGAGGCCAUCAUGGAUCCACAGAAUGUCUGCUCUGUGUCUCUGAGAGAAGACCAGAUGUCUGAAGCCUGUGGAGAGAGCUCUAACCCACUCAGGAGCCUGGGGUGAUGGUAAAGGAGACAGGAGAUCCCAGUUGUGUCUGAGAAAACCUAUGGGCUUUAGGUUGAAAGACAUGGCAUCAGCUGGUUUUCUCUUGAGCAAGAGAGAGGAUUUCAGCUGAGUCAGAAAUUGGAGGUUGAGGGUCCAGGAGAGCAAUUUCUGGGAGAGGCUCCUCUUCCAGUGGAGUCAAUAUGCAUUUGGCUGAACAAGGUCUAGUAGAGACUCUGAGAACAAUGAGGAGAAGGCCUGCAGGAGUACAGGGAUCAAGAUUGUCACUAGAAAACUUCAGUAUUCCUGUAUUUUUGGAGGUGUCAGUCACCCCUUCUCUGGAUGUAUCCCCCUAACUAGUGUUUCCUACGUGGAUGCCCUUUUUGUUGUAUCUCCUAGUGUAAAAAAAGAGACUUGAAUACAGGACUACAAUCCCCACAAGCCUUUGCUCCACUUCCCCAAAAUGCUUUGUAAUCUCACGGAAAUUCUCAGGUGGGCCUAGAUCGAGAAGGUAUUUAACCUGGUGGCAAAGGUUUUUGGUCUCUUUUUGGAUUUCUGUUUUGGAGCAGACUUGGCUCUUUCCAUAAUGUAGGUGAGGUCUUGUCUAGGACUCUGGCCUAGGCAUGUUUUCCUUACCCUGUAUUUUCUUAAAUCCUUAAUCUUCAAUAAACCUCAUAAAAUAUAAUACUCCUUGCAGAGAGAAACUAAUUUCUACCUGCCUCAGUCUCCCCUAAAUUUUAAUCUUUACAGUUGUCGAGCCAGGUAUGAGACAAAAAAAAACCUCUCAAUCUUCUGAUUUAAUCUUUAUAGCUAGUGCCUAGAAUUUUUUUAAGCCACGUCUGUCCAAAAUGCUUUUUAGAAAACUAUCUUGAUCUGCUCCUGCCUGCAGCCCUCUCCUGCUCCUGCUUCUGCAGCCUCUCACCUGGUGCACAAGCUCCCGGCACUGCUUGUCUUUUUUUUUACCAUAGCAAAGCUGUUGGUCAGCUCCUGCCUGCCUGCCUGCCUGCCUGCCUGCCGCCAUCCGCUUGGGACAGCCACUUCUCCUGGCCCCACCCCGGCUGCCCACUCUGCUCGGCCCUGCUUGUCUGAGGUCUGGCUCUGGCCCCGGCCCAGCGGACUUUCUCUCGCUCACCUGGCCCACCUGAUUCAACCAAAAUUGUAAUCACCUGGUGACCUGCCUGCCCAACAAACCCAGAUCCUUGGUGGGUAACAAAAUGGGGGGUGGUGUAUUGGUUCCACGUGGGCGGCCUGGCCUCCACGUGGACUGGGGCAGGAGGAGGUAUCAGAGCAGGGGAGAGAGAAAAAGGGAGAGGAGAAGAAACAGAUUUUUUCAAACAGAAACUUAAUAGCAAUGGGCUGUUUAAAAGGAUACCUUUUGACUCUUCUGGUAAUUUCAUUGACUUCACCUGCCUGUCAGGGAGCAGACUCAGCCCAAAGAUUCAACUUUAACUUUGAAGGGGCAAAUGGGUGGCUCAUCGAACUGAUAGCCAGGCCUACAAACAUGUGGUCCUGGGUUAAAAUCUGGCCUCAGAUACUGCCCAGCUGUGUGGCCCUGAGCAGAUCGCUCAGACCCCAUUGCUUAGCCCUUACCACUCUGCCUUCUGACAAUAGACAUUUAAAUGGAUAACACACCUAAGGAACUUUGAAGAGACUUAAAGGCUAUAUUCUAAGGCAUUUCAGACUCCAGUGGUUUAUAAAAAUCUCUGACUCUAUUGCAUUUUUCCUGAUUGUUUUGUUUAAGGUUUAACUGUGAUUUUAAGUUCAUAUAUUACUGGAUUGAAUAUUAUUCUGUUACACUGAAGGUUGAUUGAAUUUAUUUUGAAUGUACUGAGUUUUAAAAUUCCGUUGCUUUUCCCCUAUAACUAUUGAACAAAUAUUAUUGUAAUUAAGC